rnacentral:snRNA from 1 species
AGCUUUGCGCAGUGGCAAUAUCGUAGCCAAUGAGGUUUAUCCGAGGUGCGAUUAUUGCUAAUUGAAAACACAAUAGCCUCAAAAAAAAUAAAAUAUUUGGGAAUCAAUCUCACAACAGAGGUGA